GCGAAAUAGACUGUCAUGCCAAACUGCCCAGCCAAAAUUUGAUUGAAUGCAAAAUUAAGAGGACAUUUCUAUAAGCAUUCAAAUUAGGGCGAAAUGGACUGUCAUGCCAAACUGCCUUGCCAAAAUUGGAUUGAAUGCAAAAUUAAGAGGACAUUUCUAUUGGCACUCCAAUUGGGACAAAACGGAUUGUCAUGCCAAACUACCCAACCAAACUGCCUUGCCCAAACUUUAUUGAAUGCAACAAUAAGAGGACAUUUCUAUAAGCAUUCAAAUUGGGAUGAAAUAGACGGUCAC
rnacentral:lncRNA from 1 species